UACGGAGGAUCCGAGCGUUAUCCGGAUUUAUUGGGUUUAAAGGGAGCGUAGGUGGAUUGUUAAGUCAGUUGUGAAAGUUUGCGGCUCAACCGUAAAAUUGCAGUUGAAACUGGCAGUCCUGAGUACAGUAGAGGUGGGCGGAAUUCGUGGUGUAGCGGUGAAAUGCUUAGAUAUCACGAAGAACUCCGAUUGCGAAGGCAGCUCACUGGACUGCAACUGACACUGAGGCUCGAAAGUGUGGGUAUCAAACAGG
rnacentral:rRNA from 1 species